GAUGAACGCUGGCGGCGUGCCUAAUACAUGCAAGUAGAACGAGUUGCGAACGGGUGAGUACCGCGUGGUAACCUGCCUCAUAGCGGGGGAUAACUAUUGGAAACGAUAGCUAAUACCGCACACUGUGAGAUGGACCUGCGUUGUAUUGGCUAGUUGGUGGGGUAAAGGCUCACCAAGGCGACGACACAUAGCCGACCUGAGAGGGUGAUCGGCCACACUGGAACUGAGACACGGUCCAGACUCCUACGGGAGGCAGCAGUGGGGAAUAUUGGACAAUGGGCGCAAGCCUGAUGCAGCCAUGCCGCGUGUGUGAAGAAGGCCUUCGGGUUGUAAAGUACUUUCAGCGGGGAGGCGUUACCCGCAGAAGAAGCACCGGCUAACUCCGUGCCAGCCGCCGCGGUAAUUC
rnacentral:rRNA from 1 species